rnacentral:rRNA from 1 species
UGGGGAAUUUUGCGCAAUGGGGGAAACCCUGACGCAGCAACGCCGCGUGAGUGAUGAAGGCCUUCGGGUCGUAAAGCUCUGUCAGAGGGAAAGAAAUGCGGGUGGCUAAUAUCCAUACCGCUUGACGGUACCCU